rnacentral:lncRNA from 1 species
GCCGCUGCUGCAGGAUUAUUAUUACAGUAUAUAGCUGCCCUUCCCUCCCCCCUCCCCCCCGUGGGCUGCUCUGCGUCGCUGGCACGGCUAUGCAGCGCCUUGGCCCUGCUCCGUGCCUGGCCGCCGCCCAAAUCCCUGCUGUGAGGGGAGCACCAGGGCCCGCGGGCGUGGGGUGGCGCGGGGGGGACAUCAACGGCCGGCACACCAACAGACAGGCGCGUCAACGACUCUCCCCCGCCUUUCAGUGUCGGUGGUGGGGUGCCUUGGCGGGGCUGGCUCUGUCCUGGCACACAGACAGUGGGAGGAUGUCGGGCUGCGGAUUAUUAAAGACUAAACAGCCUGGCUCCGCAGCAGAGGGAGGGUAUCAUGUAGAAAGGACAGAAAGUGAGCAGGGACUUUUGUCUAUUGUUCUUCUUGUGCUACUUCAGAGAAACUGCAAUCCAAAGACUUCACAGAAUCUAAAAAUGAUUUAUCAACCAAGCUUAACAAUUUGGGUUAGCCAGAAACUCUUUCCAACCAGCCCAAGAAAUGGGGGAUUUCCAAAGAUAAAGGUAUGUAAUUUCUUUAAUCUAAUAAACAAUUUAUUAGUAUGCAAAUUUCUUUAAAAAACCCACAACACUGUGAAAGUUCAUUAGAUUUAUCUUAUGUUUACUUCAAAAGAGUAGCCAGCAUUCACAAUUUCAUCACAAGUUUAAUGAUAUUGAUUUUUCUUAAAGCCUUGACUCCUUGAGCCAAGCAGUUAAGCGAGGAUUUCAGCUUUCAUUUAAAAAUGAUGUGGUAGCCUUCAAGCUUGCAGAAAACCGGGAGUCUUUCUGGCUCACAUGCCAGAAAGUAAACAUAGGAAUUUUUAAAGGUUCAUGUUUUGUAAGCCUGUCUCAUGAUUUUACAAACUUGACAUCUCAAUUUUGAAUACUUGAUUUUGGUAUUUUUUACAUAGCAAUAUAGAGGAAAAAGUCAAUGAUAAUGCAGUGUGAGGAAAGGGGGGAUUCUCUCUUUCUCUUUCUCUUUCUCUUUCUCUUUCUCUUUCUCUUUCUCUUUCUCUUUCUCUUUCUCUUUCUUUCUCUCUUUCUUCUUCUUCUUCUUCUUUUCUUUCUUUCCCUUUCACUUUUUUAAGUUGUUUGUUUCUACUUGAGUAAUAAACAUACAAAGACAGCAGUCUUCAUUUGAGAUUGACAGGGAGUAAGUAUAAUGUUAACAUAAAUGCAGAAGAUGUGGCAUAUCAUACAAGGUUGAUAAGGUUUUGCUCUGUUACCGUAACUGUUUUCAUAAACCCUGAACUGGACGUGGAAUUUGAGAAGGAAAAUAAAACAGUUACUCAGAACCAUAGAACGUGUGUGUUUUAUUCUCAUAUUGUUCAUUAAUGACUCAAAAUCUGCCCCCCCCAAAAAAUAAUAAAGGCAGGUAAGAAAAGGAGAGUACACGGAAAACUCCUUUGAUUAAAUUUCAGUUACUAUCUAGACUGCUAACAAAACCCUGUUAACAAAACUUUGCUAUUCCAUCUGGAUAACGUUAUAUUUCCCACACUUUAUAAAGGAAGUUCUAAAAUUCAUAGCUGUGCAAUAUUUGUGUGUAUCAGAUUUACAGACUUGUGUGAGCAUGAUUAUUUUUAAAUUAACAUAUGGCAGUACUGUCAUUGUUUACAUUUAAGACGUCAGACUGAAGCUUUAUUAACUAUGAUCAUAGUGAGAACAUUCAGACAGCAACUCCCUAUCUGCUCCCCCAUUCUCUGCCAUAUGAUUGCAGUGACACAACUUAUAUACUGUUUCAAAGAAAUGAAAGAAGUGAGGAAAAAUAAUUUCUAUGUUAACAAAACCAGGUAUCCAUCCUUGAGAAGAAUAGACUCCAGACAAUCAUUUAUGUUAAUAAAGCCAAGUACCCAUGCCUGGGAGAGAUGGACUCCCUAAGUAGCUUAACUGCCACAACUGACAGUAUAGAAUAAUAGAAUCUUUAAGGUUGGAAAAGACCUCCAAGAUCAUCUAGUCCAAUCAUCCCCCUACCACCAAUAUUAUCCACUAAAACAUGUCCCUAAGUACAAGAUCCAGCAACUCCUUAAACACUCCCAGGGACAGUUAUUCCACCACCUCUCUGGGGAACCCGUCCCAAUGCCUAACCACUCUUUCUGAAAAAAUGUCUCUGUAUUUCCAACCUGAACCUCCUCUGGUGCAAGUUGAGGACAUUCCCUCUUGUCCUAUCGGUGGUUAUCUGCAAGAAGAGGCUGACUCCCAGCUCCCCACAACUGCUUUUCAGGUAGUUGUAGAGAGCAAUAACGUCUCCCCUGAGCCUCCUCCAGACCAAACAACCCCAGUUCCCACAGCUGCUCCUCAUAGGACUUGUGUUCCAGGACCUUCACCAGCUUUGUAGCCCUUCUCUGGACACACUCCAGGGCCUCGAUGUCCUUCUUGUAGUGAGGGGCCCAAAAGUGAACACAGUACUCAAGGUGUGUCCUCAUAAGAGCAGGGUACAGGGGGACGAUCCCCUCCCUGGUCCUG